rnacentral:rRNA from 1 species
GCUAAGGCCGAUGGCGACCGGCGCACGGGUGAGUAACACGUAUCCAACCUGCCGUCUACUCUUGAACAGCCUUCUGAAAGGAAGAUUAAUACAAGAUGGCAUCAUGAGUCCGCAUGUUCACAUGAUUAAAGGUAUUCCGGUAGACGAUGGGGAUGCGUUCCAUUAGAUAGUAGGCGGGGUAACGGCCCACCUAGUCUUCGAUGGAUAGGGGUUCUGAGAGGAAGGUCCCCCACAUUGGAACUGAGACACGGUCCAAACUCCUACGGGAGGCAGCAGUGAGGAAUAUUGGUCAAUGGGCGAGAGCCUGAACCAGCCAAGUAGCGUGAAGGAUGACUGCCCUAUGGGUUGUAAACUUCUUUUAUAAAGGAAUAAAGUCGGGUAUGCAUACCCGUUUGCAUGUACUUUAUGAAUAAGGAUCGGCUAACUCCGUGCCAGCAGCCGCGGUAAUACGGAGGAUCCGAGCGUUAUCCGGAUUUAUUGGGUUUAAAGGGAGCGUAGAUGGAUGUUUAAGUCAGUUGUGAAAGUUUGCGGCUCAACCGUAAAAUUGCAGUUGAUACUGGGUAUCUUGAGUGCAGUUGAGGCAGGCGGAAUUCGUGGUGUAGCGGUGAAAUGCUUAGAUA